UAAGUUUGGAACGUACCGAGUAAGAGAAAAAAAAUAUUUUUAUACACAAUCUGAUGUUGUCGAUAUGCAAAAAUAAAUUAUGACACUAUACCCAGAUAUAGGUAUGGAUUAGUCAUUUUAAAAAUGCGUACCACCGCCCACUGGCGUGUACGGAAAAUACGUCGCCGAAUAAAUUACGAAGCACCUACGAAUGCAGCUGCUGGAACUGGAAGGUGUUGUACAUGGGACGUGGUCGUGUAUAGUUAAAUAAUUCAACCGUAGGUAUCGCGUUUGCAUGGUCACACUUCACACACAAAUCAUCUAAUUAGAAGAGGAAGAGACUCAAUUUUGUGUGUUUUGAAACGUUGCUCCGUAACGGACAACGACUAAAAGUAUAAAGGUAAACAAUAAUUCAAUGGACCACAACUAUGUACGUACGCGUCGAAUUGAUUUCAGCUAACCAAAAACAAAAAAAUCUAUUGGUGCACAAUGAGUACACUAUAAUAUGUAUCGCACGAUAAUUAACAAUAUAUUAUAUAUCACAGA